rnacentral:rRNA from 1 species
GACGAACUGCCCAAACGUUGUUCGGAAUCACUGGGCUUAAAGGGCGCGUAGGCGGCGAAUCAAGUCAGGGGUGAAAUCCGGCAGCUUAACUGUCGAAGUGCCUUUGAUACUGGUUUGCUCGAGGGAGAUAGGGGUCUGUGGAACUUCUGGUGGAGCGGUGAAAUGCGUUGAUCUACAGAGGAACACCAAAAAAGGCGAAGGCAGUCAACUAUUCUGUUCCUGACAUUGAGGCAUGAAAGCGUGGGGAGCAAACCGG